AACCUAGCACACCUGCGGUGUGUACCUGCGGAGGGAUCAUUACCGAGUUUACAAACUCCCAACCCUUUGUGAACCUUACCAUAUUGUUGCUUCGGCGGGACCGCCCCGGCGCCUUCGGGCCCGGAACCAGGCGCCCGCCGGAGGCCCCAAACUCUUAUGUCUUUAGUGGUUUUCUCCUCUGAGUGACACAUAAACAAAUAAAUAAAAACUUUCAGCAAUGGAUCUCAGAUCGGAAGAGCA
rnacentral:misc_RNA from 1 species